UGUGGAGGUGCAAACUUUGUCCAGUAGAAUUUAUAACCUCUGGGAAAGACAAGAAGAAACAACAUGAACACAUAUAACUCACACAGACGGGAUUUGUGCUACUCACACUAACCAUGCAAGGUUCCCAGACAACUGUCUCAGUGGUCUCAGCACUUACUUCUCUGAUGGAGGAGCAUCAUUCUUGAACUGCUAUUGACUGGAGCAUUUCACCAAGGCAGGAAAAAUGCAUUGAUGAGAGGCGAACUGGGAUCCUUGAAGAACUCUGAAAUGACUCCUCUGAAGGUGGGAGAUGGCAGUGAUGCUGCUGCAGAGGAACUGGUUUCCCUAGUUUUAAGAGGAGUAGUAGAGACCAGCUCUGUUGUUUAAAUACGGACAUUUGUAGUACCCAGGAUUGAGCACAUAACUGCCUUGGUGGAAACUCGGAAUGAUUCUGACCUCUCUGGUUUUGCCCUAUGCGGUGGGGACUAUGCAGGAGCCAUCAGAAAUGAAGACCCAAAGAGAGAAGGAACCUGUAUAUUUUUAUGUUGGAUUUUAUGAAGAAGUGGAUAUAGUGGUGGAGAAGCAUGAUUGGACAAAGAGGCCAUGAUCUACUGGCGAUGAACUGCGAGGGACUUAGCAAGGCCCAUGUGUCCAGAUUCUCUGUCCCCUUGUCUUUAGAGAUAAGGUGCCCCCCUUUCUCUCUUCCUCUCUCUCUCUGUAGUUGCUGAAGAGGGCACCUCUUGAAUGAGAGUUUUAGAGGAGAAGGGUAAGAGAAAAGUGAGAGUGACCUUCCUGCUGUUCUCUCAAGUGCCAGGGUGCCAUAUUCUGGGGGUAGUAUUGAGGUAGGAGAUUAGGGGAGGAAAAACUGGUCAAACAACUACGAAGAGCUUGGCAGUCCUGAAGACCCAGGGCACAUUCACAGAACACAGAAUUCAGGUUGACUAUACAGUUCCCAACCCUGCAGGUGGGACCAAUCAAAAAAGUGCCAUUUUCAAUUCUUCAUUUAUACCUGACACAAAACCAAGCAGGCCUUUGAUAGGACAGCUUAAUUCUGAUGUCAGGCCAAGUGAGUUACUGAUAGCACAACCUUCCCAAAUGCCUUGUUUGCAAGGUGGGAAGCAACCUAGGAAUUCAUAUACAAAAGAGCUCUGUCAUUAUCCUUGUGGCAACUGUGAGUUCAUACACUAGCCAGCUCUCACUCUGCAGAGCAUAUUUCUUUUCCACCUUUAAUAAAUGUAAAUUCUUACUACCUUUUUAUCACAUGUCUGUCCAGUUCUUUGUUCAGAACAUCAAAAGCCUGGAAAGAAUCUCUUUGGGACCCAAAAGCUGGUAACAUUUUGUUCUGGCCCCACCAAAGCCAAUCCCAGGGCAUGUGGGCCAACCUACCGAUGCUCUUUCCUCUGUCUCACAAUUAGGGUUCUAAUGUCAGCUCCUUGACUCUGAACCCAGGCUCAGGACCCCCAGACUCAG
ensembl:lncRNA